UAGUGGGAACAAGUGAAGCUGCCAGCAUGAUCUAACCUUGGCCAAAAUAAAAUUGGAAAGGAAUAAAGAAAAACAAAUUUUGACUAUAGUUAGGUCAUGCUCCGACAGCUUCACUCUUUCUCACA
rnacentral:pre_miRNA from 1 species